UAAGCCAAAUAUAAACAUAUCAAGAGUCAAUUGUAGGUUUCAAACAGGAGCCUAAAGCAUUUAUCUUUCUAUGGUCUGUUGGCCAUUUCAAAACUUUGGAAAUGUAAUGGUCAAUUCAUUAGAAAGAAACAUAA